AGUGAACGCUGGCGGCGUGCCUAAUACAUGCAAGUCGAACGCAGUGGCGCCAGGGGGAGUAAUAUAUAGUUAAUCUGCCCUACAGAGAGGAACAACAGCUGGAUGCGACUUCUACUACACCAUAGUGUAGGUUGAGACUCUCUCGUAUCAGCUAGUUGGUGAGGUAAUGGCUUACCAAGGCUAUGACGAGUAACUGGUCUGCGGGGAUGAUCAGUCACAUGUGAACUGAGACACGGUGCAUACUCCGACGGGAGUGAGCAGUAAGGAAUAUUGCUCCAGGGGCGAGCCCUGUACGAACCAACGCCGCGUGGAGCAUGAGACUUAUCGGAGCGUAAACUCCUCUUAUCAAUAUAGCGUUACCUUAUGAAUAUGCACCGGCUAACUCCGUGCCAGCAGCCGCGGUAAUAC
rnacentral:rRNA from 1 species